rnacentral:rRNA from 1 species
AACCAGCUCUUCAAGUGGUCGGGAUAAUUAUUGGGCUUAAAGUGUCCGUAGCCGGUUUAGUAAGUUCCUGGUAAAAUCGGGUAGCUUAACUAUCUAUAUGCUAGGAAUACUACUAUACUAGAGGGCGGGAGAGGUCUGAGGUACUACAGGGGUAGGGGUGAAAUCUUAUAAUCAUUGUAGGACCACCAGUGGCGAAGGCGUCAGACUGGAACGCGCCUGACGGUGAGGGACGAAAGCCAGGGGAGCGAACCGGAUUAGAUACCCGGGUAGUCCUGGCUGUAAACGAUGCAUACUAGGUGAUGGUACGGCCAUGAGCCGUAUCAGUGCCGUAGGGAAACCGUUAAGUGUGCCGCCUGGGAAGUACGGUCGCAAGGCUAAAACUUAAAGGAAUUGGGCGGGGGAGCACCACAAGGGGUGAAGCCUGCGGUUC